ensembl:lncRNA
CGUUGCUUCAAAGAAAGGAUGAGGAGCCCAACUGAAAAAAAAUAAAGUAUAGUAAUUGGAAAAUAGCGUUUAGUCACAGAGGAGCUGUAAAAACAAUAGAGGAUGCUCCGAGAUCUGAAAGCCUCUGUGGUUCACCUUUGCCAGGAAUAUCUUCAUGUGGAAUUUGCUGAGAUGUUGCAACUUCUAUUCAGUUCAUUUCAAGUCAGGACAAUGAAACAGUGCAGGGCAGGGUGCUGAAGCUGGAGAGGAUCACAGAAGGGAGAAGUUCAUACAUUUAUGGUCACUUCGGACUGCUGAAUUUCACUUUCACAUAUUGCAGCACAGUACUCGUGGAACAGGUUUGAGAUUUUAAAAAAGAAGAAUUAAGUACUAAUGCCUCCUUGUAUUACUAAGUAUUCUAUUCAAGUUUUAAAUAAUUUAUUAAAUAUUAAUUAGGAAUGAAUGCAAUUAACAUGAAUCCAUAUAACUGGAUCAUAGUGGCUACAACUCAGAGAAAAAAAACAGAUGUACAGCCCAGGUGUUGCCAGGACUGUAAGCUAACAGCUUACAUAUAGUGGUAACUACUUGUUAGACUCAAUGUUAGCCUGUGUAACAUGCUGACUUCUUUCCCCUUGUAUUUGAACAGUGAUGGAAUUUCCCUUUUUUUUUCCCUUUCUUUCUGUUUUUCCUUGGAGUGAACAGUGAGGCAGUGGCACAGGCUGCCCAGGGAGGUGGUGGAGUCACCAUCCCUGGAGGUGUUCAAGAACCGUGUGGAUGUGUCACUGAGGGAUGUGCUCAGUGGGCAUGGUGGGAUGGGCUGAUGGUUGGACUAAAUGAUCUCAGUAGUCCUUUCCAACCUUAAUGAUUCUAUGAUUCUCUGGUUCUGUAAGAGAGAGGCAACAUUUGAAAAUGCCCUGCAGAUGAGAGCAUCCUCCAGCCAGUCAUACUUCCUCAUGCUUUGUGUGGAGAGGACACGGGAUGCAGUGGACACGUCACUGAGAACUGGACUCUGCCACCACAGACACAGGUCUCACAAACAGCCUACGGCUUUCAUGACUGCAAGCUGCUCCUCGGUGAGGAGAGGCAGCUCGUUGUGCCAGCCCAGGGUGAGCUUAUACCUCAUUAGAAACCAGAGAAACCACAUGGGAGGUGAUCUCACAAAUGCUCCAGCUGUGGGAAAAGAUUCAACUGUGGCUUCUCCAUCAACAUGAGAUGCAAAUCCCAGGGACCUGAGCUUCACUUUCAUUCAGGCUCCUGGAGAGGCUGCCUUUAUUUGCAUUGAAGAAGAGGCAAUGGAAGGACUCAGAAGACUGUUGCCGUGGAAGAAGAGGAGCAGGAAGACCCUGCAUGUCCAGUGGACCAGAGACCCUACAAGUCUAAGGCACAGAGACCUGAUAAGUCCAAAGAGACUGGCAGCCAUUCUUACUAAUUUCUUGCUGAAAUGUGGCUCUGGAGAGUUUUGUGAAACUGGAGAGCAUUAUGUGUUUUUGACUGGACCUCAUACUCUAACAUCUUGCUUCCCUGAGCUGCCAUAUCAGCAUGUUAUUUUCUAUACCUUUUCCUUGCACUUCAGACAUUUAUUUUGUGUUCCAAUCUCCUCCUCCAUGUCUACAACACAUCCUUAACCCUCAUUUCCACACUCCCACAUAAUCUACUGGAAGGGUGAUUUUUUUGGCAUUUGUGAGCGGUGUUAACAAGGAUCAGAUGGUGCCAUUGUUUAUGAAAGAACCAGGUUUCCUUUACCAGCUGUGGCAUGCACCAGUAAAAAAAAAAACAUCCAGCAGUGUGGACUUUACAGUGGAGUUCUUGUAUUUAGCAGGUGAAAAGUCAAUACUCUACCUGUAAUGAGAUUCGGUCAUGGAAAACCCCUUGAAGUUGUUUUUAGCAACGAGGCAUUAGUCACCCUUGGACAGCUGCUGGCCACUCGGCGCUUCUGGCUCGCACCGCGCCACGUGCAAGGGCUGUUUUGAAGGCUGCUCAGUGUUAAUGGUGACUCUUGCUACGCCUCAGGUGUUGAGUUUAAGCACAUGGUUUCUGGUUAUUUUAGGAAAACAUGAGCUCAUGUUCCAAGCAGCCUUUCCUCCAGUGAGAAGUUCAUUGCAGCCCAUCCCUGUGCAUGGGGCUGGGGAUGGUUAUACCCCGUGUCUUUGGGGGACUAGUGUGCCUUGGGUUUUCUUCCAAGUCUGGGGAUAUGGGAUGGUGUGAUGAUGAAGUGGUGAGAUGAUGCAGUGCUGUGAUGGGGCUGUGCUGGGGAGUGCCUCCAAAAGCAUCACCAGAAGCCUGAUGGCCACCCAAAGCAUUUUGCUGCACCCAGUGCCCUUGUGGGUGGUAGCCUGCCCAUGCUGAGGAACUGAGGGUGUGUUUGGAGGAUAUGAAGAGGUUGGUCAGGGAACUCAUGGAAAUGCAAGUGCAAGGGCUGAGAAAAAGGUGCUUUCUGUGUCAUAGACAUAGGUUAGGAAAAGAGGAGACAGCAGAGAGGUGAGAUCAUGGAGCAAGGAGGAGUGGAAUCUAUUAGAGCAUCAAAUGGCUGGAUUAAGUCAUACCACGUGAAGGCUAAGGCAGCUCCUAAAGAAAGGGAAAAUACAGGUGAUGAAGGAAGAAGUCAGUUUAACAGACCUGAAAUCUGGCCUGCCUGCAGAAAUGCGGGCUUGGAGCAAUGACCUUCUUUGGGAAGAAAAGGAGAAGCUGCUGACCAGUGGAUGCUUACCCAUUUCCUCCAGCCCAUGGCUUCCCCCAGUCUCCAGCAUUGGCUGAGUAGGAAGGGACCUUUGCUCAAGGAGAGUGCUGGAUUUUCUGGCUGGUGGACAAGGGCAAGGAAGACCUGGUGAGGACAGUUCUUGCACUAGAUAUGGAGAGUGGGGAUCCAUGUUGAUGAGUGUCAGGAACUAGUGAGGGGGAACCACAAAAAAUGGUCAGCAAGGGUCCUGUCUCUGGGACCAGCCAACCCUUUACUUCCUCUGCAGCUCAGGCAGAGUUUGCAGAGAAGAGAGUCUGAUAAUACAUUGUCCCCACUUUAUAAGCAAAUAUCUUGAAAUAAUACAUACAGCUUUUGCUGAUAUCUUUAUCAUAGAGCAAUCUAAGGGUGUGCGUAGCUUGGAUCUGACAAGCAGAUCUCAGAAAACUUCUUCUGAUAGAGAGUGCAUUUAAAUGGAGAUGACAGGGAGAAUUUCAAUUUCAAUUUCUUCUAUAGAUAUGACCAAAAAAAAAGAGCAAAUGUGAAAGUGUUAGAAAAGAAACAGAAUUUCAUUUAGACAUCUUGUGUUGAAACAUCGUGAUGUCUUUCUUUGAGAACUUUCAGGGCCACUGUACCCCUCAUUCAAGACACUUAGAAAAACCAAGACAUGAGAACAGCAGAAACCAGGCAGAACAGUCUUGUUGAGGCUUCCUGAGAGAGGAAAAGUGGUUGUUUCAGCUGUUGAAUUAUUCCUUCAGUUCUACUGCUCAAGUUCUCCUGAGUUGCUCCAGUGGCACCAUGGAGUCUUAAAUCUAGCCAAAGGAUUCUCGUGGUGCAGGGAAACCCCACUGUAGCCUCAAGCCAGGGAAGUUGUUUAAGUGAGGCUACAGUUGUGUUUAGACCAGGAAUGGUUCUCUGUAUAGGGCUGGAAGCAUGUGGAAAGGCACAAUGCAGCUGAGAAGUUCCCUCCUCUGUUUCCAUUUUGUGGCUUCUGCAAUAAUCUGUCAAAGGAACCUUAUAAACCCCUAAGUGGUGGGGUUUUUAAAGCAUGGCUGUUAUGGUAAUGGUUUAAUGCUGCCUCCUUUGUUAUGUGUUAAUGGUGCCUUCCUCUUAAGUCUACUAAUAAAAGAAACUUAAACAUCAA